rnacentral:rRNA from 1 species
GCGUUUGACCUCAAAUCAGGUAGGAUUACCCGCUG